rnacentral:rRNA from 1 species
GUCGAGCGGACCGACGGGAGCUUGCUCCCUUAGGUUAGCGGCGGACGGGUGAGUAACACGUGGGUAACCUGCCUGUAAGACUGGGAUAACUCCGGGAAACCGGGGCUAAUACCGGAUGCUUGAUUGAACCGCAUGGUUCAAUUAUAAAAGGUGGCUUUUAGCUACCACUUACAGAUGGACCCGCGGCGCAUUAGCUAGUUGGUGAGGUAACGGCUCACCAAGGCAACGAUGCGUAGCCGACCUGAGAGGGUGAUCGGCCACACUGGGACUGAGACACGGCCCAGACUCCUACGGGAGGCAGCAGUAGGGAAUCUUCCGCAAUGGACGAAAGUCUGACGGAGCAACGCCGCGUGAGUGAUGAAGGUUUUCGGAUCGUAAAACUCUGUUGUUAGGGAAGAACAAGUACCGUUCGAAUAGGGCGGUACCUUGACGGUACCUAACCAGAAAGCCACGGCUAACUACGUGCCAGCAGCCGCGGUAAUACGUAGGUGGCAAGCGUUGUCCGGAAUUAUUGGGCGUAAAGCGCGCGCAGGCGGUUUCUUAAGUCUGAUGUGAAAGCCCCCGGCUCAACCGGGGAGGGUCAUUGGAAACUGGGGAACUUGAGUGCAGAAGAGGAGAGUGGAAUUCCACGUGUAGCGGUGAAAUGCGUAGAGAUGUGGAGGAACACCAGUGGCGAAGGCGACUCUCUGGUCUGUAACUGACGCUGAGGCGCGAAAGCGUGGGGAGCGAACAGGAUUAGAUACC